rnacentral:lncRNA from 1 species
GAAGGGGCGGAUUUCUCUCAAAUAACUGCUAUAAAUAGAGCAUAAGUUGGAGAGAAAGAAGAACACAUCGGAAAAAACACUUGAAACACUCUGUAUACACUGGAUAUACACUGGAUAUACACUCUGUAUACACUGGAUAUACACUCUGCAUAUACUGGAUAUACACUCUGUAUACACUGCGUAUACACUGGAAAAACGAAUUGCAAUUUGAUAUUCUCUUGAGUAAGAAUUCAACAUUGGCUAUACUUUGCAUUCCUUCCUCUCAGAAUUUCCAUUCGACUUCUGAGUUGUCCUCCUUAUUCUGCAUUGUUUUUAACUACAAACAAAGCAUCCAUAAGUGUGAUUUGUUGCCGAACUUUGUGUUCGCUGAAACACUGGGGUUUGAAGUACCGCUACACCAGUGUGUAAUUCGUUCUAUCCUGGGAGGAAAUAAUCUAUAACCUUGGGUACUAGGAGGGGAUUAAAUUCCUUAAGGAAACACUGUGAAUUCAGUGGGCUCGAAUUAAUUUCUGUUUUUAAUUUAUAUUUACAUUUAUAAGCUAACGUUCUAAUUUCCAGAAUCAUUAUUUACAAGUACAGAGGAACAACAGAAAAUGCAUUACAAUAUUUGUGUUUAAUCUAAUAAACAUUUCUGGUGUUCAACUAAGCAUCUUAAUCUUUUGACUGAAUACAUUCUUUUCUAUCUGAUAGAAGACAAAAAAGAAGAUAUCCUUUAUUUUUCUUCAAUCUAAAAAUGAUGUAUACUUAUUUGAUCAACCAAUUGGAGCUGCAAAUGCUGACAAGAAUUCAUCACCUCUUUCUUAUAAAUUAGAAUAUCCUAUGUAGACUUGAAUGAAGGACUAACAACUCUUUUCUUAUGGGUGAUGUUUCAUAUUUGCCUUCUAUCAUCAUAAGUUUAUACAUUUGUCCCUUUAAGCAAGUACAUCGUUACUUGGAUGUUGUUUUGCUUUAUAGUAAAUUAUUCAUUUUAUCUGGUUUCCCAGUUACCUUAUUGCUGUUGCUGGCUUCUAAAGCUUAUGGAGUUAAAAUAUGUCACAUGGGCGAAUCUUGAAGUUACUUCCUUUGUUUCUUAGGAUGACCAUAAUUUUUAAGGGAGCUUGACAUACUCUCUUGAAUGGUAAAUCCCGAGUUACCGUAAUGAAAUUUAUCGGAUCGAAGUUUGUUUCUUUUGUUAGUUUUUCCUGCUCUGUUUUUGAACUUUCUGGAAGCUCUUUGUUAUGAAUAUGGAAAUGGCUAUUGUGAGGCAAGCAGCUAUAGUGAGCUUAACUGCAAGCUUCAAACUUUCCUUGUUCUCCAUUUAAAGAUUCACUUUGAUUAUCUGAUUCUUCUUUCCCUUUUGCACAUUGCUUAUUAUUGUGCAAUUUUAAAUCUAAGUUUCCAGAACUUUUCUAAUUAAUUUUCUUAUAUUCUUGUAGCCUUGUUGAUAUUGCUGGAUAACACAUGAAUUUAGAUUGCUUUUGGGGUAAGUGGUUUAGCCAUUGGUAGUGUAAAUUUUAUAAGUUUACCAAUAGUUAUUCAUCGUCUUUUCAAAAUUUUGUACUUACAGAUUUUGAAGAUUGAAGCUACAAGUCAAGAUUCAAGUUUGAAAGAUACACAAGCUCGUUAUUAUUUUGCUAGGAAUGUUAUGUAAAACUUGAUAUUAUAGACUAGCUCAGGAUGUUAGCUAAGUUUUUUUGUUAAGAUGUUGAGCAAAUAUUGAAACUAAUAUCAUGGGAUGUUAACAUAGUAAU